UCAUUAUCUCCUGUUAUGUUGCGGUAUUGUCUGCUCUGUCUUGUCGUGUUUGGAUUUUGGACUUUUGCCUGUUUUCUGGAUUGCAUUUUGGAUACCUUGUUUGUGGACUUUGUUUUAUCAGCCACUCCACCAAGUUCCAUCUGAACAUUUAAAGAAAAAUGCAUGUCGGUGAAGCGAAGACCUCAAGAUGCAUCAAGUACGUUGUGCAAGGUACAGAAUUUUGACUGGGAGGAAGCUCAGCCUCUCACUUAGCUGGAAUGGAUAAUUUAAAGCCUUGACAAGCUUUGAAGGCAGUCAAACCAAGCUACAGCCUCCACUGAAGUACCCUCAUUAUUCAUUUGACCUGUGAUAAGAAGAAAAUGGAAAAAUGCCUCUAAAAUUGAGAUUUGUCGCAUACAACUGUCAUAAGACAUGUGCAGUAGUACCCUGAAUUAAAUAUUUAUGAGAAGACAUGCACCA